rnacentral:misc_RNA from 1 species
UUUUCCUCUAAAGCCUUGGCUGCCUGAAAAAUUAAAAUCCAAUGAGAGCAUUAGUGAAUUUAUUAUUUCUUUCUUGGAAGCAGAAAACUAAUCAGAUCUUUGAUAUCUCUAACAACGGCGUUAAUAUACAUUGAGCCGUAUAGACAUACACAUGCAUUCUCAGGUAUGUGAUGUGUGUGGGAAUGAAUGUGUAUAGACAAGCUAGCGCACAUUUAAUAUCCAAGAGAAGACAGAAGAAUGUACACAAACAUUGUUUAGUUAAUGAUUAACUUUAUUCAACAUCAAACUGUUUUACCACUACAUUGUUACCAAUUAUCUUACAGGGAAAAAGACCCAAAGAGAUCGCAAUGAAGGGAUAACUAAGCAAGGUUUAGGCUUGAAGCACCAGUUUCUUAAUGAAUUUACAUUAUAAAUCAAAUCAUUCACAAAUUUACUUUAAAACUACAAAAUUUAUUGUUAAAACCUUAACAUAUGCAUGAUGUUUGCUGAUGAUAUAGUUCU